GGCUCAGUGGUGUAAUGGUUAACACACCCAUUUGCAAUUCUGAGAAUGUUGACUAGUAAAUUUGGUGGGAGGUCCCUGUUCAAUUCAGGGUUGGGUCA